GGGCAUAGCUCAGUGGUAGAGCGCAUGCUUAGCGUGCACGAGGUCCUGGGUUCAAUCCCGAGUGCCUCCA
rnacentral:tRNA from 1 species